CAUACUUCCUUACAUGCCCAUACUAUAUCAUAAAUGGAUAUGGAAUGUAAAGAAGUAUGUA
rnacentral:pre_miRNA from 1 species